AGAACGAACGCUGGCGGCAUGCCUAAUACAUGCAAGUCGAACGAGAUCUUCGGGUCUAGUGGCGCACGGGUGCGUAACGCGUGGGAAUCUACCCUUGGGUUCGGAAUAACAGUUGGAAACGACUGCUAAUACCGGAUGAUGACGAAAGUCCAAAGAUUUAUCGCCCAGGGAUGAGCCCGCGUAGGAUUAGCUAGUUGGUGAGGUAAAGGCUCACCAAGGCUACGAUCCUUAGCUGGUCUGAGAGGAUGAUCAGCCACACUGGGACUGAGACACGGCCCAGACUCCUACGGGAGGCAGCAGGUAGGAAUAUGGACGAAUGGGGCAACCCUGAUCCAGCAAUGCCGGCGUGAGUGAUGAACGGUCCUUAAGGGUUGUAAACGUCCUUCGUUUUUAACCCGGAGUAACGUUAGAUUAA
rnacentral:rRNA from 1 species